UACGUAGGGUGCAGGCGUUUAAUCGGAAUUACUGGGCGUAAAGCGUGCGCAGGCGGUCUGCUAAGAGAGGUGUGAAAUCCCCGGGCUUAACCUGGGAACUGCGCUUCUAACUGGCAGGCUAGAGUGUGGCAGGAGGGGGGUGGAAUUCCACGUGUAGCAGUGAAAUGCGUAGAGAGUGUGGAGGAACACCGAUGGCGAAGGCAGCCCCUG
rnacentral:rRNA from 1 species